GGGAGAAAAUUGGACAUACACAUUUGCUAAAUUUAGGUCCAGCACCUGUACUAAUCUCCCAGGUCAUUAUAUAAAGUGGUGGUCUCAUUUCAUCAAAGAGUUUCUCAUCUUCAAAUCUUCACACAAUUUUCCAACUUUCAAUUUGUACCUGAGGAGCUAUUAUGUAAAACUGGUUUUCCAGCAUUCCUUUGAAAAAGAAUGACAUGUCACUUCUAAGCUGCUC